AUGGGCAGCUCUCAAUGGCGGCAGCACCCCCAUAUUGCUGGAACGCCCUUUGCCGCCUCAGGCAUUGGUCCACAACCCUUAGCCUCGGCGUGUCCCCUUUUGACGCACCCGGUGCUACCAACAUGCCCUCGGCAUCCCUGCUCUCCCCCAUUGAUUUCUUCAAAGUUCGUAUCUGCCCCACGAGCGCAUCCCUCAGGCAUCGGAAGUGGCGUGACAUGGCACGCAUCGCCAGCUUCGUGUACACUUGUGCUGCCCCCGUGCCGGCCACCGCCUCGAACGACAACUCUGUCGCCCGCAUUUUCUCACGGUAUCGUCGGUAGCACCUGUCCACCUUCAUAA
rnacentral:rRNA from 1 species